UUUGGGAUAAAUUCGGAUUUGGGAUAUUUAGGGGGCUAUUUUUCUUGAAAUAUUCUAGACCCACUUGGGUAUAUUUGGAUUCAAAUAGAUAUUUACUGAUUUUCUUGACGAAUCAGUGUUUAGCAUGUGUUAUAAUAUUAAUUGAAUGAUUAAUAUUCACCAUAUCCUAACACAGCAAGUUCCAGUUUUUUUAGUAUAAUUUUAAUAAACUUCAUUCACUGUGACAGUGGCAAUUUGCAGGUAAUCUUUCUUUUUCUAUUGUUUUACAUUAUGUCUUUGUCCUUUAAGUUGCGUUGGCAACCUUUUGUUUUCGACUUGCUUACGUUUUGCCUGCUUAGUUUUCUUUGGCAAGUAAGGUCAUAUGCAUAUUUUAGCUGUUAGCACUCAAUUAUGAUCAUAAUUUCUCACUCUGCUUUUGCAUUUUUGCUUGUCAUUGUGUGCUGUUCCACCAUGCUAUCUUCCUUAUUAAGUAAUGCAUUUUUGUUAAAUACAUUUCAAUCUCAUUAUUUCAACCAUGGAUAUUGUGUAAAUAUGGCAUGUUACAGGGGGACCGCACUUGGAAAGCGGGAGUUGUUGAUAGUGAAUACAUUUUUCAUAAGGGCAUACAAACUUUGGGUGGGAGUGGACUGCCUGCAAAAAAGGUUCAAAUAGGCCAGAAAAAAGGACUAUUGAUGAUGUGGUUAAGAAAGAUAUAGAAUAUUGGACAGCUGUUAUAUGGAUGAUGUGCUUAUUGAUGCACUCUUGCAUCAACAUCAUCUAGGUAAUAGAAAUGGUCCGAAUGCUAUGAUGUGUUUAAGAAUGGAUUGAGUGGUUUUGCUUGGAGUCCAAUCACCAAAAUGCAGAGUGCUGAAUCGGAAGCUUGGGAAAGUCUAAUCCAGGCUAAACCUAAAGCAAAAGAGCUUAAGAACAAACCAAUUCCAAACUACGACAAAUUGGUUUAGCUUUAUGGAAAAGAUAGAGCAACUGGGGAACAAUCUGAAAUUGCGUCGAAGAUGAGGCAACGGUGGGCUACUUCAACCGAAGAGGGCUCUAUGGAGAACAUUGAAGAUAUUGAUCAUUUAGAUGCUCAAAAUGAAGUUACUUUGGAGAGCUGUGAUAAUUUGGGUGAUAAUAAUGUGAGUGAAGCCUCCUUAAAAGCCAAAAAGAGAAAAACAUCAAAAAAUGAGGACAUGGAACAAAUUAUGGGGACAAUUCAGAAUGUUGCUUUAGCAAUGAGAGAAGGAAAU